GGAAAAAUUAAAAACACACUAUGUGUGUGUGUGUCUGGGGAUCGAUCAAGGCAGGGAAGAAAAAGGGUUCAACCCUAGUUGCUAAUCCAGCCAAAUUAGAAGAAAAUUUCAAAGAUAAUUGAUUGCAUGAACUCAAGUUUCGAUCAUCUAAGCUCAUAUAGGGAAGUGGCGUAAAAAAAGAAAGCUCAAACGCUAGGAAAUCGGAAGGUUCGCAAGAUCGAGGUAUGUUGUUUUAUGCAUACAAACUUUAUUUUGUAACUUUUCGUUCUUGUACUAAAAUCAUAAUUAUGGUAGUUCGUAGUAGUUAUGUAGUAGAUAACAUGACCUGUCACGAACGGGUCAUAUGAAAUGAAAGUUUAUGAAGGAAAUUGUAUUAUAAUCGGUUCAUCUCGGAUGAACCGUAUUGGAAAGUUAUGUAAGAAAGGAAUGAAAUUACUCGAUCCGUUAUAAACGGGUUGGAGUUGAUGUAAGUGCAAAAAUGAAAGGAAUGUAUUCGUUCGUGGUAAACGGACCGAAUGGAAAUUUAUGUUACGAAUGUAAUUACCCGUUUCUAACGGGUAAGUAAUGAAUGGUAUGUUUUAUCUCUAUUUUGAGAUAAGUAUGUUUUGACCCGUUUCGACGGGUAGUAAGUGCAAGAAUGAUGUGAAGGCAUGGAAUGUCAGUUUGUUCUUCUAAAAAGUAUUGUUGAUGCCUGAUGCAUGUGUCAUUGUGUCGAUCACCAGGUUUGUGUGUCGAAUAUGACCUAUUGUUCCAAUUUCAUCGCCUUCAGGUGUGUUUCUCCAGGUCUUUUGUCACUCUACGUGAAGUUUGUUUUUGUGUUAGUUAAGUUUAGUAAAAUUCGAGCAUCUCGAGUUAGGGUUUGUAGAAUGAGAUUUCAUUUGCGAUGGUUAAUCGUUGUGUUAUGUUAUGAGAUUUGAAUUUCUGUUACGAACUACUAUUUUGGAUUGAAUUUGUGCUCUGAGUUGACUUCGUUGGAUCCUACAUUUUGAUGAGGUAUGUCUUUUGUUUAAUUUGCAUAUGCAUUUAAUGAAGUAUGUCUUUUGUUACAAAGUUGUACGUAUUUAUGAUUAAAGCAUUGAGAUAUGAGUUCUGGAAAUUUCUAUCUGUUUGCAGCAAUUGGGAGUUAAUGAAGCAGGGUUAGAGAAUCCAUGAGCUCCUAUGUUAAGAAAUAUAGUUUCUGAGGGUUAGAGAACUAUGAAUUUGUUAUCAUUGUUUGUUGAACGGUUAAUUGUUGUUCGUUGGAUUUUACAUUUUGAUGAAUGAAUUUGUUAUCAUUGUUUACUGAACGGUUAAUUGUUUUUUUUAACAGUGAGAAUCUUUAACUUGUUGUGAGAGAGAUCCCACACCCUCCUAAACAGAGGGCCCUAACCCCACUUUGGCCAGACUAUGUUGUCUUAACUAUGUCCACGCUGGCGUCAGAGUUUGGCUAACGACGUUCCACGGGAAGCCAUACCACCACUGCAAGUAACAGGGGCUUGCACCGCCACAAGAAAGAUUCUCUCUGGCGUGACGCACGGUGGAUUAAAACCCGGGGUGGCUCGGACUCGAACUCUUGACCUAAGCACAUAUUGAACGGUGAUGAGAAGUGUCCCUUGUGCGAUGAGUUAGUGGAGACGGCUGAGCAUUGCUCGUGCUCAGUGGCCUCAAAUAUCUGGUAUCGUAUCAGCCGUUGGUGCAAGAUUAGCCCGAUCUAUGCCUUCUCUAUUAGAGAUUUGUUGUCUAUCCAUGAGUACUCGGGACUGGAAAAAACGCUAAAGAAGCCCUUCAAGGUAUUAUUAUAGUUGGUUGUUGGUGUUUAUGGAAAGCUAGAAACGAGAGGAGGUUCAAGAAUAAUAGGAAAGAGAUCUCGGUUACUUUUCAAGAUGUUAAAGUCUUAGGUUUCUUAUGGUACAGAAAUAAAUCUAGAAAUAGGAAGGUAUUUUAUGGAAUAGCUUGUGCUCUUUCAAUUUUUUAUAAUUGGUUGUUGUUUGUGUGGUUGCCCUUGUUUUGAGGGUUAGCUUGUGAAUAAAAAUUACUUUCAAAAAAAAAAAGCACAUGUAUUUA